AACAUUGUGAAUUCGGAGCGGGGUUAUCGGAUGCGCUCAGGGAUAGACUCGUCUGCGGGCUGCACAACGAGAACACACAGAAACGGCUCUUGACAAAGAAAGAUCUUACGCUAGAGGUCGCGUGCGACAUUGCCGUGUCAAUGGAAACGGUCGCAAAAGAUACAGUCAAACUGCAAAAGAAAAAUGUGGGGGAAUGCUCUUUGAAUAAGGUGGAGAGAGAUUCUGUCACAGCCAGGACCGCUGUCUUACAUCGUGCGUGUAGGGCCCGACAUUGUCUGGCGCAGCAUUGACUGGAUGCAACAACUAAGGCUACCACAGCUAAGUCAGUCGCACACCAAGACACCAAGACACCAUGAGUAUACUCUUAGAACACCAGAGGAACUUGGUGCUGAUGACACUGAUCCUGCCCUUGGUGCUGAUGACACUGAUCCUGCCCUUGGUGCUGAUGACACUGAUCCUGCAGAGACUGUUGAACCUCAUCUGAGGGCCGCUGGCUCUGGUUCUGAAGAACCCGUACGUUACCCUGAGAGAAAUUGUAGAGCACCUCAGAGGCUUGAUUUGUAGCUGGUUAUGAUUGACUAACUUACUUUGGCAGGAUCCACAGUUCAUCAAAAAAAAAAAACAAUGUUAAAGAAGGACAAUGUUAGAUCAGGAUUGGCUAAUACUAACAUACUAAUCAUGUGUUCAUGUUACCUUACAUUUCUUGUGCAUGUCAUUUACUAAUUUACUAAUGCUAGGGCAGGAUAGGUUUAUUACUAACGAUUACUAAUUACCUCGUUAACUUGUCAAUCCUCCACACCUGAUUUCCAUUCUCUUGCUGCUCUCAAGCUAAUUGUCUACACCUGUCUACACCUGCCUAAAAGCUCAGUUUCAUGUCAUGUCUGUGUGAAAUUGUUUGCCUCCUGUUCGUCAGUGCAUUCUCUUGAGCGGUAUACCAAGCCAUUGUCUACCCGGUACGAUCCAAGCCUGUUAUUGACCAUUGCUUAUUGGUUUCUGUUUUGUUGACCGAUCGAGGAUCAGUACACCACUGAAGGAGAGCGGGCUGUGCGACGGCGCCAGGAGCUGGGGAAAGUGAUUCACGGUGAAUAUUUCCCGCAUACCUAUUUAAGGGACCGGCCCCUUGGAGAGAGCCGCGCAGGAAAGAAUCAGCGCCAAGAAAACCACAUCACCAUGAACAUCCACAAGAGGAGCCCUGCUUUGUGAGAUGGAAGCAUAAUUAUCCAAAGAAGACUUGCAUUCGGUUCUCAUUUUUCUGAACAACCAUGAGUACUGAACCAACACCUCUUACCCCAGUGCCUGUAAAAUACAGAAGCAGCUUUUUGAUCAAGAC